rnacentral:lncRNA from 1 species
GCGUGAUGUGCCGCUGCGUGGCCAGCCCCACGCCCACUCCCUGCACACACCUGGCUCCUGGGUCCCCGCCCAUGGGAAAGCCUCGGGAGCUCUGCUUUCAAGACAAGGACACUAAUGCCCAGAACAUGAAACCGUUUGCCCUGAGUCCCGGGCCAGGAAGCUGGAGACAGUGUCCCCCUCAUGGUAGGUACCACGGGGCCACGGCUAGUCAUCAAUGUGUCCUCGUCCACAUUGAGGUCUGGCCUUUGCCUUCGGCUUCAGGGAGAUGCACGUCAUGUCUGGCGGCCGUGUCUUUGUUUUGGGCAAGGACUGGCCACAUCAGAGAGACCGGCCGUGUGAUUUAGAAUGGGGGCUUCAGGUCACACAGUGUCCAUCGACCUGGCGACCCCGUGGGCCAUGAUCAAUUGACCGAUCGAUCAAUCUUGCCUGCCUAAUGGGAGCCACGCACCAAGUCUGGAGGCUGGGGCUGGGCUGGGCACCCCUGGCUGGCCACACUCCGUACAUUUGGUCACACAUCAGUGCUGGAGACUCACACUCCCUGAGGGCAGCAGGAACCUUGCCCGUGGACCUCUCCCGGAGCCCCGUCUUGCAACACUUCCUCAGGCUGAUUUUCAUCCCUUGCUGUAAUCAACUCUAACAGUGAGACCAUGAGUCCUUCUAGUGAGUUCUCAAACCUCUGUGUGGUUUGGGGAGCUCUCCAGGCUUAUCACAGCUGAAGUGAGAAAUGGUGACCUCAGGAUCCCGGCUGAUGACCUGUCCCACUUGGGUCCCACUCGGCCCCACACGAGACUGAUGACCUCCAUCCCCAGGUUAGGAGGAGGAAAUUGGGCUUAGAGAAUUAGUUCCAGGUCCAGGAUGGAAACCCCUGUCUCCUAACAUUUCUGAUCUGACUUUGUCUGCCGUGCAGCCCUCUGGGUGAUGGAUUUUUUGCAAAGCCAGCAUAUGACUUAUUUCUGGCUGC